rfam:Beta vulgaris subsp. vulgaris 0153.scaffold00462.con0004.1, whole genome shotgun sequence.
GGGUGCGAUCAUACCAGCACUAAGGCACCGGAUCCCGUCAGAACUCCACAGGUAAGCGUGCUAGUAUUAGAGUAGUACUAGGAUGAGUGACCUCCUGGGAAGUCCUUGUGUUGCACCCC